GAUGAACGCUGGCGGCGUGCCUAAUACAUGCAAGUCGAGCGAACAGAUAAGGAGCUUGCUCCUUUGACGUUAGCGGCGGACGGGUGAGUAACACGUGGGUAACCUACCUAUAAGACUGGAAUAACUCCGGGAAACCGGGGCUAAUGCCGGAUAACAUUUAGAACCGCAUGGUUCUAAAGUGAAAGAUGGUUUUGCUAUCACUUAUAGAUGGACCCGCGCCGUAUUAGCUAGUUGGUAAGGUAACGGCUUACCAAGGCAACGAUACGUAGCCGACCUGAGAGGGUGAUCGGCCACACUGGAACUGAGACACGGUCCAGACUCCUACGGGAGGCAGCAGUAGGGAAUCUUCCGCAAUGGGCGAAAGCCUGACGGAGCAACGCCGCGUGAGUGAUGAAGGUCUUCGGAUCGUAAAACUCUGUUAUUAGGGAAGAACAAAUGUGUAAGUAACUGCACACGUCUUGACGGUACCUAAUCAGAAAGCCACGGCUAACUACGUG
rnacentral:rRNA from 1 species